GUGGGUAACCUGCCUUAUACAGGGGGAUAACAGUCAGAAAUGGCUGCUAAUACCGAAUAAGUUCCAAGAGCCGCAUGGCCCAUGGAAGAAAAGGUGGCCUCUACCUGUAAGCUAUCGCCUGAAGAGGGGUUUGCGUCUGAUUGGCUGGUUGGAGGGGUAACGGCCCACCAAGGCGACGAUCAGUAGCCGGUCUGAGAGGAUGAACGGCCACACUGGAACUGAGACACGGUCCAGACUCCUACGGGAGGCAGCAUG
rnacentral:rRNA from 1 species